rnacentral:ncRNA from 2 species
AAUAUAAAGUAGGAACAGGCGGCCUUUACCAUAAGGCGCAGCCGGGCAGCAAGCAGCAGGAAAGCCUGCGGGACCUAU